UAAAGUUUGUACUUAAGUUUGGAGUAGUAGAGAAAGCACAGGAUCAAGACGUCGACAUAAAGCAUUAUAUCAGGAACUUCAUCUUGAGACAGCUGGACGAACCAGACAGUACAGAGUCCAACACUGACUGAGAGCUGAGAGCCCCAGAACCCACAAGAUGAGGAAUCUACUGAUAUUAAUCAUCCUGUCCUUUAUGACAGGUUGUGUGAGCUGCCUUGAAGUGGAAGGAUGCUUAGGAGGAACUGUCAUCUUCACCUGUAAAUACCCAGACAAAUAUCAAAACAACAAUAAAUAUUUCUGCAAGGAGUCAACUCAAAGUUGUGAGGGGAUAAAAAAAAGGUGGGAUGAAGAACACCUGGGAGAACAAGGAUAGAUUCUCUCUUUGUGACACUGACGGGGAACUCUUUUCUGUGAUCAUCAGGAAACUGGAAAAAAGCGAUGAAGGGAACAACAAAUGUGAAGUGGCCACAUCAGAUCCAUCAAGUGGCCAUGUUACUAAUGUGGAGCUGAAAGUAAAGGAAAGUGAAAUACUUAUUUUCAUUUAGCAAAAAAUGAAUAGAACUUAUAGGGCAAUUCCGCUACUUUUCAACCUCAUAGUCAUUAUCUUCAGCACCAUACCAGUGUUUAGAUAUGGGGAAACGGCGCAUUUCUAUGAGCUGUGGUUAGAAAGAUAACAAGGUCUUAAAUGCUUCUCUGUGACAUCACAGGGUAGGAUUGAAACUUUUUGAAAAAAGGAGUGGCUGUGGAUCCAACUUUCCCCAGACCUUUUUUUCCUGAAUUAAAGAUUGACGCUUCUGCACGUGCAGAUCACGUUCUGCGCAUGUUUAUGCUCUACUUAUCUCUAUUAUAUUCUCUACUCGUAAAGAACAGGUUACUCUGACGAAUGGUGUUAGAAUAAAGUCAGAUCAAAGCUGAAUCCAUGUCUGCAAGAUUACAUAAUGAUAGCAUUCUACAUAAUAGAACUGCAUAUAAUAGUUACUGUAAGACAAAACCACCGCAUUUUUCUCCUACAUUUGGCCAAAACUCAACCGCGCAUGCCACUACGCAGAACACACAGGUAGGCUAUUCUACAGUUUGUUAACACCAUCUGCUCUACAAUUUGUGCACUGUACAUCCUUCAAAACAACACUGUACAUCCUUCAAAACAACACUGUAGAGUACUUCAAACACUGCAUAACUCAAGAAGAUCUAAACAUGUGCAAAGUAGAGGUAAAAAGGCUAACGUACAGAACUUGAGCCUCACAUUCGCAGAAGCUUCGAGACCUUUAGUCCAGGAAAAAAGGUCACAGAGAAGUUGGAUCUGCAGCCCCAGACUUUUUAAGACCUGCAACGAGUUUCUAGCCAGAGGGAGGGUAUUUUCUUUCUCCCCACGUCACUGUUAAUCUCACAGAAAAUCCCUGUUUAUAAAAUGCUACCACUUUUGAUGAUGUCAUCGGAAUGAUGUCAACUUUUUAAAAUGUGCCUUUUUCACAUAUGUAGACACUGGUAUUAUGCUGGAGAUGAUGAAAGUGAAGUUGAAAAGUAGUGGAAUUGCCCUUUAAUCGAGUUAAAUUUGGCUAGUCACGGUGGUCAUCAAGUGAGGGUGUAAGGAGAGACAGGAAAUAAAGGCUGAGGUUGUGUUUCCCUUGAUGACUGCUGUAAGAAAUCAGUCAAAGAGAAAGCCUAUCUGGGGGGGAAACGCUACCAUCACCUGCCAGUAUCCAGAGGACCAUGAGAAUCGCCCCAAGUAUUUAUGUAAACAAGAAGAUCACUUCAUCUGCAAAGACAAUGUCACUUUAGAAUCUGAAAAACUAUCAAACAAACAUGGUUGAUUAUUUGUGUCUGAUAACAGAAGGUCGAGAGUCUUCACUGUGACUUUCACCAACGUGACUGUGGAGGAUACAGGUGUAUACAGGUGUGGUGGGAAACUAAUGUCUACACCACCCUGAUCACUGAAGUAGAACUCACAGUUAAUGCACCACCCAAGACCACCACGGUGACAACCAUGUCUCCUGCAUCUUCAUCCAGGUCACCACCAUCACCACUAAAUGGUCAAUCAAACCUU